rnacentral:ncRNA from 2 species
GCGACGCGAAUGGGAGAGCGCGGCAAAUGCCACCGCCGAAGGCGCAAUCCACCCGGAAACGCUCAGGCAAAAGGACCUUUCGUGCAAG